GGACUACGGGGGUUUCUAAUCCUGUUUGCUCCCCACGCUUUCGCACAUGAGCGUCAAUGCCAGACCAGGUAGUCGCCUUCGCCACUGGUGUUCUUCCGAAUAUCUACGAAUUUCACCUCUACACUCGGAAUUCCACUACCCUCUUCUGGAUUCUAGCUCGACAGUCUUAAAAGCAAUUCCCAGGUUAAGCCCGGGGCUUUCACUUCUAAUUUAUCGAGCCGCCUGCGUGCGCUUUACGCCCAGUAAUUCCGAACAACGCUAGCCCCCUUCGUAUUACCGCGGCGGCUGACAC
rnacentral:misc_RNA from 1 species